rnacentral:rRNA from 1 species
AACCCAGUGUGACUCGUCACACUAUCAUUAACUGAAUCCAUAGGUUAAUGAGGCGAACCGGGGGAACUGAAACAUCUAAGUACCCCGAGGAAAAGAAAUCAACCGAGAUUCCCCCAGUAGCGGCGAGCGAACGGGGAGGAGCCCAGAGCCUGAAUCAGCAUGUGUGUUAGUGGAAGCGUCUGGAAAGGCGCGCGAUACAGGGUGACAGCCCCGUACACAAAAGCGCAUGUGCUGUGAGCUCGAUGAGUAGGGCGGGACACGUGGUAUCCUGUCUGAAUAUGGGGGGACCAUCCUCCAAGGCUAAAUACUCCUGACUGACCGAUAGUGAACCAGUACCGUGAGGGAAAGGCGAAAAGAACCCCGGCGAGGGGAGUGAAAAAGAACCUGAAACCGUGUACGUACAAGCAGUGGGAGCACCCUUUGGGUGUGACUGCGUACCUUUUGUAUAAUGGGUCAGCGACUUAUAUUCUGUAGCAAGGUUAACCGAAUAGGGGAGCCGGAGGGAAACCGAGUCUUAAUUGGGCGUUAAGUUGCAGGGUAUAGACCCGAAACCCGGUGAUCUAGCCAUGGGCAGGUUGAAGGUUGGGUAACACUAACUGGAGGACCGAACCGACUAAUGUUGAAAAAUUAGCGGAUGACCUGUGGCUGGGGGUGAAAGGCCAAUCAAACCGGGAGAUAGCUGGUUCUCCCCGAAAGCUAUUUAGGUAGCGCCUCGUGAAUUCAUCUCCGGGGGUAGAGCACUGUUUCGGCUAGGGGGCCAUCCCGGCUUACCAACCCGAUGCAAACUGCGAAUACCGGAGAAUGUUAUCACGGGAGACACACGGCGGGUGCUAACGUCCGUCGUGAAGAGGGAAACAACCCAGACCGCCAGCUAAGGUCCCAAAGUCAUGGUUAAGUGGGAAACGAUGUGGGAAGGCCCAGACAGCCAGGAUGUUGGCUUAGAAGCAGCCAUCAUUUAAAGAAAGCGUAAUAGCUCACUGGUCGAGUCGGCCUGCGCGGAAGAUGUAACGGGGCUAAACCAUGCACCGAAGCUGCGGCAGCGACACUGUGUGUUGUUGGGUA